CCUAAUAAACUUCAUUCAUUCUCAUUUCAAUAAAAAGUUUGUUAUUCUAUGGAAUAGGCCUAUGCAUAAUAAAGAUUAUAAAAAUUAUCUCUUGCUUUCUAUAAGAAUAAUAUUAAUUGCUAUGCAGGUCCUCUGCAUUUCAUAAAGAUUGAUUUUAAUUUAAAUUCAAUAGCUCAAGUACUGAAACUUUAUUAUUCUUGCUUUACAGGCAGCUUGGCCUUCUUCCAGUCCUAUCUGGAACAAAACUAUGGCAACAUCGAUAUGGCUGGUUUAGCAGCAGAAGUCACCACAGAGGGUCAUGUGUGGACUACUAAUGCAAAAAAAGUGAAAUUUAUUUGGGAUUAAAAGUUAACAGAACGUUGUGCAACCCGGUGAUAAUCUUGUAUUAAAGGAAGUUCUUAUGUAGCAAGCACAAGUUAUGAAGUUAGUAAAGGCUGUUAUUAAUUACAUCAGAUGACUUUUGUUGCUGCAAGAGUGUCGACCAUGUUCAUCUACUGAAGCUGCAAUGACAUCCACUAUCUCAUAGAAUGUUCUAUGAGCAGUACUUUGAGAAAAAUUAUAUCUGUCAUCA